GAUGAACGCUAGCUACAGGCUUAACACAUGCAAGUCGAUGGACCGGCGCACGGGUGAGUAACACGUAUCCAACCUGCCCUUUACUCGGGGAUAGCCUUUCGAAAGAAAGAUUAAUACCCUAUGUAAAGGAUGGGGAUGCGUUCCAAUAGGUUAUUGGUGAGGUAACGGCUCACCAAUCCUUCGAUGGAUAGGGGUUCUGAGAGGAAGUUCCCCCACAUUGGAACUGCGGCUCGGUCUGAACUCCUACGAGCGUCAGCUGUGAGGACUAUUGGUCAAUGGGCGUUAGCCUGAACCGGCCAAGGAGCGUGAAGGAUGAAGGCUUAUGGGUCGUCAACUUCUUUUAUAUAAGAAUAUGUAUUAUAUGAAUAAGGAUCUGCUAACUCCGUGCCAGCAGCCGCGGUAAUAC
rnacentral:rRNA from 1 species